GAUGAAGAACGUAGCGAAAUGCGAUAAGUAAUGUGAAUUGCAGAAUUCAGUGAAUCAUCGAAUCUUUGAACGCACAUUGCGCCCGCCAGUACUCUGGCGGGCAUGCCUGUCCGAGCGUCAUUUCAACCCUCGCGCCGUCCCUCCAGGGGGCUCGGCGCGGUGUUGGGGGACACGGCCCCGGCCGCCCCCGAAAUGCAGUGGCGACCCCGCCGCGGCCCCUCCAGCGCAGUAAGCACGCUCGCUACGGGAGGCCCAGCGGACGCGUCCGCCGUGAAACGCCCAACUCUUCAGAAGUUGACCUCGGAUCAGGUAGGGAUACCCGCUGAACUUAAGCAUAUCAAUAAGCGGAGGA
rnacentral:misc_RNA from 1 species